rnacentral:rRNA from 1 species
GUCGAGCGAACGGACGAGAAGCUUGCUUCUCUGAUGUUAGCGGCGGACGGGUGAGUAACACGUGGAUAACCUACCUAUAAGACUGGGAUAACUUCGGGAAACCGGAGCUAAUACCGGAUAAUAUUUUGAACCGCAUGGUUCAAAAGUGAAAGACGGUCUUGCUGUCACUUAUAGAUGGAUCCGCGCUGCAUUAGCUAGUUGGUAAGGUAACGGCUUACCAAGGCAACGAUGCAUAGCCGACCUGAGAGGGUGAUCGGCCACACUGGAACUGAGACACGGUCCAGACUCCUACGGGAGGCAGCAGUAGGGAAUCUUCCGCAAUGGGCGAAAGCCUGACGGAGCAACGCCGCGUGAGUGAUGAAGGUCUUCGGAUCGUAAAGCUCUGUUAUUAGGGAAGAACAUAUGUGUAAGUAACUGUGCACAUCUUGACGGUACCUAAUCAGAAAGCCACGGCUAACUACGUGCCAGCAGCCGCGGUAAUACGUAGGUGGCAAGCGUUAUCCGGAAUUAUUGGGCGUAAAGCGCGCGUAGGCGGUUUUUUAAGUCUGAUGUGAAAGCCCACGGCUCAACCGUGGAGGGUCAUUGGAAACUGGAAAACUUGAGUGCAGAAGAGGAAAGUGGAAUUCCAUGUGUAGCGGUGAAAUGCGCAGAGAUAUGGAGGAACACCAGUGGCGAAGGCGACUUUCUGGUCUGUA